rnacentral:rRNA from 1 species
GACGAACGCUGGCGGCGUGCCUAAUACAUGCAAGUAGAACGCUGAAGGAGGAGCUUGCUUCUCUGGAUGAGUUGCGAACGGGUGAGUAACGCGUAGGUAACCUGCCUGGUAGCGGGGGAUAACUAUUGGAAACGAUAGCUAAUACCGCAUAAGAGUAGAUGUUGCAUGACAUUUGCUUAAAAGGUGCAAUUGCAUCACUACCAGAUGGACCUGCGUUGUAUUAGCUAGUUGGUGGGGUAACGGCUCACCAAGGCGACGAUACAUAGCCGACCUGAGAGGGUGAUCGGCCACACUGGGACUGAGACACGGCCCAGACUCCUACGGGAGGCAGCAGUAGGGAAUCUUCGGCAAUGGACGGAAGUCUGACCGAGCAACGCCGCGGGAGUGAAGAAGGGUGUCGGAUCGUAAAGCUCUGUUGUAAGAGAAGAACGAGUGUGAGAGUGGAAAGUUCACACUGUGACGGUAGCUGACCAGAAAGGGACGGCUAACUACGUG